rnacentral:rRNA from 1 species
CAGCAGCCGCGGUAAUACGUAGGUGGCAAGCGUUAAUCGGAAUUACUGGGCGUAAAGCGUGCGCAGGCGGUUAUAUAAGUCAGAUGUGAAAUCCCCGGGCUCAACCUGGGAACUGCAUUUGAGACUGUAUGGCUAGAGUGUGUCAGAGGGGGGUAGAAUUCCACGUGUAGCAGUGAAAUGCGUAGAUAUGUGGAGGAAUAUCGAUGGCGAAGGCAGCCCCCUGGGAUAACACUGACGCUCAUGCACGAAAGCGUGGGGAGCAAACAGGAUUAGAUACCCCAGUAGUCCCUGUCUCUUAUAA